rnacentral:miRNA from 1 species
CAGUCGGCCAAAGUGCUGGACC